AUUGAACGCUAGCGGUGUGCUUAACACAUGCAAGUCGAACGGUAGCAGGCUCUAGUUUACUAGAGUGCUGACGAGUGGCGGACGGGUGAGUAACGCGUAGGGAUCUGUCUAUGGGUCUGGGACAACUCGGGGAAACUCGAGCUAAUACCGGAUAAGGUCUAAGGAAGAAAGUGGGGUAGCAAUAUCUCAUGCCGAUAGGUCAACCUGCGUUGGAGUAGCUAGUUGGUGGGGUAAAGGCCUACCAAGGCGACGAUCCAUAGCUGUUCUGAGAGGAAGAUCAGCCACACUGGGACUGAGACACGGCCCAGACUCCUACGGGAGGCAGCAGUGGGGAAUAUUGGACAAUGGGCGCAAGCCUGAUCCAGCAAUACCGCGUGUGUGAAGAAGGCCUGAGGGUUGUAAAGCACUUUCGACGAGGAGGAAGGUUAUAGUGCUAAUACCAAUAUAAUUUGACGUUACUCGUAGAAGAAGCACCGGCUAACUCUGUGCCAGCCGCCGCAGUAA
rnacentral:rRNA from 1 species